CUCUCUCUCUCUGCGGCGCAUUUCUCUUGAACCAGCAAUUACACGAUAGGAGCUUCAUGGACACCAUUGCAUUUCUCCAUAAUCUGUUUACUUGUAAGCUUAGAUUGAUUGGCUUUCAUGGAUACAAGAAAUCAGUGGAAAUAUCAUGUCUUUCUAAGUUUUAGAGGCCUGAGUCAGAAUUUAUCCAAGAUAUUGUGAAAAUGAUAUCACAUAAAUUGAGUUAUGCAUUUCCAAGAGAUACCAAAGACUUAG